UGAGCAAUCUGCCCUUCUCUUUGGAAUAAGCGUUGGAAACGACGUCUAAUGCCGAAUACGACCUCCUUUCGCAUGAUCGGAGGUGGAAAGCUCCGGCGGAGAAGGAUGAGCUCGCGGCCUAUCAGCUAGUUGGUGUGGUAAUGGCCCCACCGAGGGCGACGGACGGGUAGCCGGCCUGAGGAGGGUGACCCGGCCACACGUGGGACUGAGACACGGCCCAGACCUCCGUACGGGAGGNAGCG
rnacentral:rRNA from 1 species